rnacentral:tRNA from 1 species
UGGAGAGUGGCGUAAGGGUAACGUGGUUGUUUUGGGUGCAAUUGUUACGGGUUCAAGUCCCGUCUCUCCGA